UUCCUACGGGGGGCAGCAGUGGGGGAUAUUGCACAAUGGAGGAAACUCUGAUGCAGCGACGCCGCGUGAGGGAAGACGGUCUUCGGAUUGUAAACCUCUGUCUUUGGGGAAGAAAAUGACGGUACCCAAAGAGGAAGCUCCGGCUAACUACGUGCCAGCAGCCGCGGUAAUACGUAGGGAGCGAGCGUUGUCCGGAUUUACUGGGUGUAAAGGGUGCGUAGGCGGCUUGGCAAGUCAGUAGUGAAAUCCAUGGGCUUAACCCAUGAACUGCUAUUGAAACUGUCGAGCUUGAGUGAAGUAGAGGG
rnacentral:rRNA from 1 species